AUUGAACGCUGGCGGCAGGCUUAACACAUGCAAGUCGAGCGGAGAUGAGGUGCUUGCACCUUAUCUUAGCGGCGGACGGGUGAGUAAUGCUUAGGAAUCUGCCUAUUAGUGGGGGACAACAUUCCGAAAGGAAUGCUAAUACCGCAUACGUCCUACGGGAGAAAGCAGGGGAUCUUCGGAACUUGCGCUAAUAGAUGAGCCUAAGUCGGAUUAGCUAGUUGGUGGGGUAAAGGCCUACCAAGGCGACGAGCUGUAGCGGGUCUGAGAGGAUGAUCCGCCAUACUCGGACUGAGACACGGCCCGGACUCCUACUGGAGGCAGCAGUGGGGAAUAUUGGACAAUGGGGGCAACCCUGACCCAGCCAUGCCGCGUGUGUGAAGAAGGCCUUAUGGUUGUAAAGCACUUUAAGCGAGGAGGAGGCUACUGAGACUAAUACUCUUGGAUAGUGGACGUUACUCGCAGAAUAAGCACCGGCUAACUCUGUGCCAGCAGCCGCCGUAAGAC
rnacentral:rRNA from 1 species